rnacentral:rRNA from 1 species
GUCCACGCCGUAAACGAUGUCAACUAGCCGUUGGAUUCCUUGAGGAUUUAGUGGCGCAGCUAACGCAUUAAGUUGACCGCCUGUGGAGUACGGCCGCAAGGUUAAAACUCAAAUGAAUUGACGGGGGCCCGCACAAGCGGUGGAGCAUGUGGUUUAAUUCGAAGCAACGCGAAGAACCUUACCAGGCCUUGACAUCUACAGAACUUUCCAGAGAUGGAUUGGUGCCUUCGGGAACUGUAAGACAGGUGCUGCAUGGCUGUCGU